rnacentral:rRNA from 1 species
GACGAACGCUGGCGGUGUGCUUAACACAUGCAAGUCGAACGGUAAGGCCCUUUCGGGGGUACACGAGUGGCGAACGGGUGCGUAACACGUGAGUAACCUGCCCUCAUCUCUGGGAUAACAGUCGGAAACGGUUGCUAAUACUGGAUAUGAGCUUGCAAGGCAUCUUGUGGGUUGGAAAGAUUUUUUUGGUUGGGGAUGGACUCGCGGCCUAUCAGCUUGUUGGUGAGGUAGUGGCUCACCAAGGCUUCGACGGGUAGCCGGCCUGAGAGGGCGACCGGCCACAUUGGGACUGAGAUACGGCCCAAACUCCUACGGGAGGCAGCAGUGGGGAAUAUUGCACAAUGGACGGAAGUCUGAUGCAGCAACGCCGCGUGCGGGAUGACGGCCUUCGGGUUGUAAACCGCUUUCAAUUGUGACGAAGCUUUUUUGUGACGGUAGCAGUAGAAGAAGCACCGGCUAACUACGUG